CCCUGAAGUCUCAGAUGGUGAAGAAUCUGCCUGCAAUGCAGAAGACUCAGGUUCAAUCCCUGGAUCAGGGA
rnacentral:tRNA from 1 species